rnacentral:rRNA from 1 species
GACGAACGCUGGCGGCGUGCUUCAUACAUGCAAGUCGAACGAGAAGUCACCUUCGGGUGAUGGAAAGUGGCGGACGGGUGAGUAAUGUGUAGAGAAUCUGCCCUUGAGUGGGGGGACAACAGUUGGAAACGACUGCUAAUACCCCAUAUGAGCUUAGCUGAAAUGCUAAUCUUGAAAACUCCGGUGCUCAAGGAUGAGUCUGCAUCUGAUUAGCUAGUUGGCGGUGUAAUGGACCACCAAGGCUACGAUCAGUAGCUGGUUUGAGAGGAUGAUCAGCCACAAUGGGACUGAGACACGGCCCAUACUCCUACGGGAGGCAGCAGUAGGGAAUUUUGCGCAAUGGGGGAAACCCUGACGCAGCAACGCCGCGUGAAUGAUUAAGCCCUUCGGGUGUAAGUUCUGUCAGUAGGACGAAACUUGACGGUACCUACAGAGGAAGCACCGGCUAACUCCGUG